GCUGGCGGCACGCCUAACACAUGCAAGUCGAACGAAGUAGCAAUACUUAGUGGCAGACGGGUGAGUAACAUGUGGGUAUCUGCCCUUUGGCCUGGAAUAACACGAGGAAACUUGUGCUAAUACCGGAUAAGUCUUUACGGAGAAAGCUUUAUGCACCAUUGGAUGAGCCCGCACUUGAUUAGUUAGUUGGUAGGGUAAUGGCCUACCAAGACUGUGAUCAAUAGCUGAUUUGAGAGGAUGAUCAGCCACAUUGGGACUGAGACACGGCCCAAACUCCUACGGGAGGCAGCAGUGGGGAAUCUUGCACAAUGGAGGAAACUCUGAUGCAGCGAUGCCGCGUGAGUGAAGAAGGCCCUUGGGUUGUAAAGCUCUUUCGUCGGGGAAGAAAAUGACUGUACCCGAAUAAGAAGGUCCGGCUAACUUCGUGCCAGCAGCCGCGGUAAUACGAAGGGACCUAGCGUAGUUCGGAAUUACUGGGCUUAAAGAGUUCGUAGGUGGUUGAAAAAGUUGGUGGUGAAAUCCCAGAGCUUAACUCUGGAACUGCCAUCAAAACUUUUCAGCUAGAGUAUGAUAGAGGAAAGCAGAAUUUCUAGUGUAGAGGUGAAAUUCGUAGAUAUUAGAAAGAAUACCAAUUGCGAAGGCAGCUUUCUGGAUCAUUACUGACACUGAGG
rnacentral:rRNA from 1 species